rnacentral:lncRNA from 13 species
UGUCGGAUCUCCGUCGCAGUCGUUUCGUAACAUUCGGUUUCCGUCGCGCUGCGCUCCGUUUUCAUUCUCUCUUUCUCUCUCUCUCUCUCUCUUUUUCUGUCUUUCUCUCUCCACCUUUCUCUCUCCAUUUCUCCCCCCGAUCCCUCCCUCCCUCCCCCCUGUAGUCCGUUCGCCACUCGCCCUUGUUCCUCCCGGCUCCCUCGAUCCCGUCAACGACACCGAGUUCCGCCCAACGGGAAGCGACCACGAUUUUCGUCGAACAAGGCGCGUCCUCGAUUCCCGUCGCUUCGUUUUACGCGCGUAAAGUGUACGCCUCGGCUGAUAGAAAGAUACGAGCGAAAACACGAAAGAAUCUCAAAGUGCACGACAGUUUCGUUCGCUCUCUGUGUGUGUAUUAUCAUAUUUGGAUAUACUCGUAUUAUCGUAUUUGGAUAUACUGCGAUCCCCGCCGCCGUCGCCAGCAGCCAGCACACGUCCACCAGCCCGUCGCCAAGCAGGCCACGGCCCGUGGAGAUCGUGAUUCCGGCUGGCGAGCUCUGCCCCCUCGGAGGAGCCCCGUGAGUGAAAGGAAACGCGGAAACGGAGCGGGCUUCCCUCCGGCAAUUACCAAGACGAUCUUUCACGUCGCCCGG